rnacentral:tRNA from 1 species
AGGGAUGUGGCUCAGUGGUAGAGCACUUGCCUAGCAUGUGUGAGGGCCUGGGUUCCAUCCCUAGCACCACCA